AACGAACGCUGGCGGCGCAUCUUAAGCAUGCAAGUCGAACGGCAAGAUUUUGUAGCUUGCUACAAAAUCCUAGAGUGGCGGACUGGUGAGUAACACGUGGGUGACGUACCUUUCAGAGGGGGAUAGCUACUAGAAAUAGUAGAUAAUACCGAAGACGACCGCAGGGGUUAGAGACUUGUGAGGAAAGGAGCUAAGGCUCCGCGGAAAGAUUGGGCCGCGGCCCAUUAGCUAGUUGGUAGGGUAAAGGCCUACCAAGGCAAUGAUGGGUAUCCGGCCUGAGAGGGUGAUCGGACACAUUGGGACUGAGAUACGGCCCAGACUCCUACGGGAGGCAGCAGCUAAGAAUAUUCCGCAAUGGACGAAAGUCUGACGGAGCGACGCCGCGUGGAUGAUGAAGGCCGAAAGGUUGUAAAAUCCUUUUGAACUGGAAGAAUAAGUAGAGUAGGGAAUGACUUUAUGGUGACAGUACAGUUUGAAUAAGCAACGGCUAAUUACGUGCCAGCAGCCGCGGUAAUAC
rnacentral:rRNA from 1 species